rfam:Nitratiruptor tergarcus DSM 16512 genome assembly, contig: NitteDRAFT_scaffold1.1
GCCGGUGUAGCUCAGUUGGCUAGAGCAGCUGAUUUGUAAUCAGCAGGUCGGGGGUUCGAGUCCCUUCACCGGCU